UACAGUUUCAUCAUCUCUUACAAAAAUGUAAUAUUUUUUGUUGAGAAUGGUUACAGAAAACAUGGAUUUUUCUGGUGAGAUUAUAGAAAUCUUAAAGAUUAACUUUCUUAUCCACACAAGUCUAUUUCUGAACCAAUACAUGCAAGAACAAAUGAAGGUAAACAAACAACAUCGGUACUAAGUGUAGAUGGAGAAGAUGUUCAGGUUCAAGGAGGGCAUGUGGGAGAAGCACAGGACACAACGUAGACGCAUGCAUACUUAUGCUCCAGACCAGGGUUCUUGCACAUCACUAAGCACUAAGAAGUACUGCAACUUCAAGUGCAUCUGCUACUUUGGUUUGUUCAUAUAAACACAACAAUCUGAACAAGAGUAUUCUGCAGGAGAAGAAUUCAAGCUUGGAUAGACA